AUUGAACGCUGGCGGAAUGCUUUACACAUGCAAGUCGAACGGCAGCACGGACUUCGGUCUGGUGGCGAGUGGCGAACGGGUGAGUAAUGUAUCGGAACGUGCCCAGUCGUGGGGGAUAACGUAGUGAAAAUUACGCUAAUACCGCAUACGAUCUAUGGAUGAAAGCGGGGGAUCGCAAGGACUCGCGCGAUUGGAGCGGGCGAUAUCAGAUUAGGUAGUUGGUGGGGUAAAGGCCCACCAAGGCAACGAUCUGUAGCUGGUCUGAGAGGACGACCAGCCACACUGGAACUGAGACACGGUCCAGACUCCUACGGGAGGCAGCAGUGGGGAAUUUUGGACAAUGGGCGAAAGCCUGAUCCAGCCAUUCCGCGUGCAGGAUGAAGGCCCUCGGGUUGUAAACUGCUUUUGUACAGAACGAAAAGGUUUCUACUAAUACUAGGAGCUCAUGACGGUACUGUAAGAAUAAGCACCGGCUAACUACGUGCCAGCAGCCGCCGUAA
rnacentral:rRNA from 1 species